rnacentral:lncRNA from 1 species
UUUUUUUUUUUUUUUUUUUUUUUGCUUUUUGCUUUUUAGGGACGUACCUGUGGCAUAUGGAAAUACCCAUGCUAGGGGUCGAAUAGGAGCUACAGCCAUUGGCCUACACUACAGCUCAUGGCAACACUGGAUCCCCAACUCACCGAGUGAGGCCAGGGAUUGAACCCUCAUCCUCAUGGAUAAUUUAUGCUGCAGUAUUCUCUGCUUUGGUCACUGUUCUUGGUAUCUUUUCUAUUCUACCCUUUAAGAAAAACAUUUCAAGGUUUCUGGGGUUUGUGUUGGUAGUUUACAGCUUAAAGGAUUUUCUGAUGCCCAUUCUCUUAGCUACACCCAUCAGUAUCAGUGGGUAUGUUUUCAUAUAGCUUGUUUAGACUAAGAAGAUGUUCAUGAAAGUGAAAUGAUUUUCAGGUGCUUUUGAUUCAUGUGAGGAGCACUAGAACAAUAUCUCAAUUCAUGAUACAGAUGCAUAUUUCAAUUCUGAUUCAAGCACUCAAGUUGGUCAAUCCAUAACUUGGAGAAGGUAAAUAGAACUUCUUUUACAUGUAAAGAAAUUGGGUAUCAGAGAAGUAAAACCUGGCUUUGCCUGUACUGAGAUGAAACCAUUUAUAGGCUUUACCUGUGCUACAUAGUGUGAGCAUUCAUUCACUUCACUACAGAAAUAGGUUUAGAUCACAGCAUGCUGCCCCAGAGCCUGCUGGAAACAUUCUAUGAUACACAGUAUCCAUAUGGACCUUACUGCCAUAAACUCUGAAUUCUCAGUCACACCUGGUCCCAAGGAUUUUCAGUAAGGGAUUGUUGACCUAUAGUUAUUUUCUUUCCAGAAUAGUCAUUCAGGCAAUUUGGUACUUAGAAGCAUAAAUAUAGUGAUGAUAUAUUCUAAAUAUUACAGAACAAUUCUGAUUUCCAGAAUUCCUUUUUAACUUGUAGUUUCUGUGCAAGCCACAGGACACGAUUUUAUAUUUUGAAAGUUAUGAAUAUACUUAUUAUUAGACCUACAAUUCAAACCAGUGUGUAAUUGUACACCAUUAGAGAAAAUUAGAAAACAUUUUUUAAAAUUUACGCUGUUCCCCAAAAGCCGAUGACAAUGUCUGGGAAACAACUUGAUUCUACCUUCUAAUUUUCCUUCCCUUUUAUUAACAAAAUCACAACAUGACUAGGUCACAAACCAGUAAAUUGCAUUUGACAGCUGAAUGUCACUGUUACCUGUAGGUAAUGGUCUCUUCUGCCUGGCACAUACACAGUAGGCAUGUACCAAUUAUUUAAUGGAUAAAUAAGUUAAAUUAUAACACUUUCAUGGCUGGCUUAAUCCUGUAAGUAAUAAUUGACUUAUAUUACCUCUUAUCACCUGAUUGUUUUCUCAUGAUUGUUUUUAGCUAGUGAAGUGGUUUCAGACAUUGGAAAGAAGUAGAGUAUUGUUUAUGAAACCAUAGAUGGCCUGGAUGGGAGACUGAAUUGGAAUCCUUGAUUCCCAGUACAGAGAAGGCCCUUGAUAUUUAAGAAUAAAAAUAACAGCUGAGCUUUAUGUCAUGUGUUUAAUGCCAUGACCAUAAAGCCAUUACUGUAACGCCUACGUUUAUUUUCUUAAGGAAGCCGCUGAACCGCCCUCAGAAUGGCUUAGUUUUUAGUGACUAUGGUUUUCCUUUGGGACCUCGAUUCCAAGAAGACGCAGUUUUGUCAAAGGCUCUUUCAUCCUGUUUCUUUAAAAAAAAGUACCCUGCAAUAGGUAAAACAUCUUUAGAUAGAAAAAGUAGUCAGCCUACACCAAAUCUUCCCCUACCUCCUUCCUCUUUCAUUUCCCACUUGUGCUUGUGUACUACUAACUAUAUUGAGGGUACAUGGCCACUAAGGUUUAAGGUUUUUUGAGAGCAGGGGCUGUAUCAUAUUUACUUUCACUUUUCCUUCUGUGCUUAAAACAGGACUUCUACUUCUUCAGCAAAUAUUCGUUGAGUAUCCACUAGGUGUCAGAUAUACUAGGUAGAGUCUGGGGAUACCAAGAUAACUAAACAGGGACACAGGGAGAUGCCCUUUGGAAUCUAACAGUCUUAUGUGGGAGAGGGGAAAAAUGGAUCUGUAAGCCAAAAAAAGCUACAGUAUAAUACUACAGUGGAUAGAUGAUUUCCCGGUUUAAAAAUUCUAAAAUCUCUGAAAAUAUCUCUCCACGAAAUUUGAUUGAGCAACUAAAUUUCUACCACUAGAAUAUUAUUCUUUAUAAGACCAGCGUUGCAUUUUGGUUGCCCCUAAAGGUUAUUAAUGGGCUAUAAAAUGAUAUUUUUCCCCCUCUUAAAACAUUUUAAUUUUUAAAUUUACAUAGUAAGAUUCACUCUUUUUGAUGUAUAAUUCUGAGUUUUCACAAAUGCCAAAUCAUGUAAUAACCAUAAUUGAGAUAUGGAACAGUUCUACCACCUCCCAAAAUUCUCUUGUGCUGCCCCUUUUUAUAAUUUGUUGUGACAAAAAAUAAUUUUAUUCUUCAAAAAUUAUUGUUUGAAUGUUCCAUGUAUUCAAAAAAAAAUAUGUGGCGUUCCCGCUGUGGCACAGUGCAUUCAGAAUUCAACAGCAGGGAGUUCUCGUGGCACAGCAGAAACAAAUCCUACUAGUAUGCGUAAGAAUGCUGAUUUGAUCCCUGGCCUCACUCUAGCAUUGCCGUGAACUGUGGUGUAGGUCACAAAUUCGGCUCGAAUCCCACAUUGCUGUGGCUGUGGUGUAGGUGGAUUUGCCCCCUGGCCUGGGAACUUACAUA